ensembl:snoRNA
UGGUUUCUGUGAUGAUUCCAUGGAAUGAUGCGCCAGGCAUGGCGCCUGAUCAAUCUGAUGAGUCAUUCCAUGCUGCCUUCCUUCUGAGAAACUA